rnacentral:tRNA from 1 species
AGGGCUGUAGCUUAGUGGCAGAGCGCUUGCCUGGCAUGCAUGAGGCACUGGGUUCAAUCUCAGCACUA